GUGCUCGCUUCAGCAGCACAUAUACUAAAAUUGGAACGAUACAGAGAUUAGCAUGGCCCCUGUGCAAGGAUGACACGCAAAUUCGUGAAGCAGUCCAUAUUUUU
rnacentral:snRNA from 1 species